UUAAAUUACAUAGUUAUGUUUCAGUGAUAUAUUGGGGGGGACAAAUCAUAUUUUUCCCAGGAUGGGGGGGUCGUGUCCCCCCCGGGAUUUCUGCCCCUGCUACUAUCAGAAGAAAAACAAUAGGCUGGGCAACACCUCCGACUGGACAGUUAAUCUAUAUACAGUUAAUCUAUAUACUCAUUUGGUCUCCCAUCCAGGGUCUUAACCAAGCCCAGCUUUGAUAUUUGUCACUGCCUAUUACCAAUGUGCUAUCGUAAGAAUGAUUGAGAGAUCUCUUAAUAACUAAAUAGAUUCACUGUUGCUAUUGAAAUCAUUCCAAAGGAGAGGUUUAACAGAGCAAAUGAAACGUAACCAUACUUUAUAAAUCAUAUAUCAAUGAUACUAUUUAGUCUUUUAUAGCAUUUGCAAAGCCACCAACAGCUAUUGUUUAAAAUUCAACAAAGGGUCCAAGUAAAAAUCGAUAAUACAUAUAGACCCAGGGUUUCAAGCUUUAGUUGGUUUCUAAUUUUAACACAAUUGAUAUGUGGUAUUGACGUCUCCAUCUCAACCAAAAAUGAAGAAUAGGACUAAAUCAAACCAAUCAAACAUUAAAUGCACCUUAAAUAAAGUUUGAUUUGAUUUAGUGCUAUUCUUUAACUUAGAUUUUUGGUUGAGAUGGAGAUGUGAUUCUGACGCGUCAAUUAUUAAUUUGUAGACGAACUGGAAAUAAAGCCAGACUAAGUCAGUGACACAAAAGAUACAUCUCCUUCAAAAUGUUGAUAUUUGGUUGCAUUGGCAACCAAACACAAUUCAAUAUUACUUUUGUAAUACAGUAAAUAGCCUAUUAACUUGUCGACAAGUUAACAAGUGAUAUGUUGGCUGAGGAUAUACUAAAAAUGUCUGGUAUGUAAUGACAUUUUAAUUCAAAGUAAAUGUAAAUUCUUUAUUUUUAUGUAGUUGUGUGGGACAGCCGUAUGAUCAGUUCAUGCCUAUGAUUUCAGAGUUCAACAAAGCCAACAGCUGCUUCAUGUGUGCCACUGAUAAAGAACCUGGAUGUGGCCCAAAGACUGACUGGGCUAGUAACUUUAUUUAACAUGUUUAUAAUCUUUUGACAACAGUGACGGCAUGUAAGACAAUUUAUGAUAUAACACAAUGGAUGGCUAAUUCGUCAUUCGUCAUACUGCAUUGAUAUUUGAUAUUAUUUAUAACGUGUUACUUUGUUUUGUUUUAGACUGAAUGUUUUGCAUGCCAAUGGUGGUUCCAUGUGCUGUAACUAGGAAUGAAGACAAAAUAGUUCCGAGUAAAGAACACAAACUGGAAGUGCAGUCUUUGUUGUUGAAAAUGUCCGCUAUACCCCAUCCACACUGAAGAGGCUCUGAAAUGUACAUCAACCAGGGAUAAAGAGGAAGUUAACACUGAAAUGUUUCAUACUUAUUUGAAGUUAAAAGUGUCUGUUGACAUGUUGGAAAAGAUUAAUGGUCUACAAUUUGUUUAAUUUGUCAAUAUUACAUUUUUAUUCCUUGAUUUACUGGCCACCAUUACUGUGGUUACAUGUUCAGUAUAUGUAUUGACCAGCAAACCCACUGCAGCCUACCUCACUAGCUCACUCUCCAUCCCUGCUUUGGACAAUUAAUAGCAUGACUCUCAUACUUUGCCCUUUUCCUUUAUGGUUGAUAUUAACUGUCUCUCCUAUUGUGUACCGCUGUUAAAUACUGUGGAAAAAUAAAACACAGGGGAAAAAAGUACUUAGAACUACCAAUUAUUAUAGAUAAAUAUUAAAGAAAAGGGUAAACACAACACUGGACUGAACCCCCUAAAUGGCAAACUAAUAUUAAUGUUCAACAAUAUAGAAGAGACAUAAAUAGAGGGUAUGCAAUAUGGGUGUAUAUCCACUGCACGCUUCUUAGGUGUGUAAUUGACAUGACCAAGGAGCUAUUGAAAUGUAAAACUAUUAAAAAUGCAUGUUACACCGCGUUAUUUAACAGCACACAAACAGGAGUGUGCAAUAUAGAAGGGUACAUUCUGCACGUUCUGCAUGUUUGAAGUCACAAGGUCACAUGACCAAGGAGCUAUUGAAAUUUUACAUUUUGAAAAAUUCAUGUAAAAACGUGUGAGAUGAAAAUGGACAAACUAAAGGGUUGCAAUAUAGAAGGGUAGUCAGUGGACAUUCUGGACCUUGUUUGAGUCAGGUAGGUCACAUGACCAAUGAGCUAUUGAAAUUCGAAUGUUAAAAAGCUGGUACUUUGUUUACGCUCCCUAACUAAUUCAACUAGGAAUACAAACAUGCUGCUCACAUUUCCACACGUUUAUUAGCUCUGGAAGGCGAAUGAAUGUCCAAAUCGUGAAAAUAAGACCUGUGCAGUGUUGUGCGCAAUUCUUCCAACAUAAUGACACUUAUUUGGAGUCUGUGGCUCAAGUGGUUUGAAAGCUAUUGAGGUUUAAAAGUGCGAAUAUCCGUCCAAUAUCCAACCUGAAACUGGCUUUACCUCGGUCGAUAUUCUUCCCUUCUGCAAACACUUGACACAUGACCACAUCUUUUACAUGUACGACACUGAAGAUGCUUGUGCACAAAAGCUCUUACAGGGUAUCUCAUGAAUCCAAACGUUAUAGGACAAGGGAGAGACUCUUCAUCAAAGACUAGCAUGGAUGAAGUGAACUUUUCUCCGUCCACCAUACAGGUCAAUCGACGUGCACCAACCACUCCAUCGAUGUCUUCAGUCAUAUCGUGUGGUUUCAUUUCUUGCGCGAACCCAGAAAUAACCCUCUUGAUAGGCGCCCUGCUACGAAAAUCCAUGCAGAAAACAUACCACUCCGAUCUUUUUGAGUCUUUAAAACACGCUUCUACAAAUCUAAAUCUCUUGACUGGAGACGAUAAACGAGUCUAGUGGUUUCCUAUUUUACAACAUAAGUUGAGUUCUCGUUUCCCUUUUUCUUCGCCACUGUGUAACCAACUCAUUCUCACUUCCUGUGAAAGGAGUCACAACUAGACUCACUAUUGCUUUCAAACGAAACCUCGUUUCCGCCAUUCCUUCCUUCUACCCCCCACCUCCGUUCUCGCACGUCCUCGGUUUGUUUUCUGAAAAUUCGAUUUGGGGCCAGGGCGAAUAUAAUUGGAACCAAUCAUAUUGGUGGUUGGAUUGUUAGUUGACUGUCUCGCAUUCCCAUUGGCUGACAGUGUCAUUUCACUUAGUUGUGACAAUUGAGACAGAGACGGAUGCGCUCCUGAGGCGCAAAUGUAAAGCAAGUGAAUAGACAUUUAAAGUCCCAGCAGUAGAGAACUGGAAAAUGACAACGCUUCAAUAUUUGGGAAUAUCAGUACUUUUCAUCAUCGCUAGUGAUUCCAGAGAGCUGGCGGGCAACUCUCAACAAGAAGCAGUAUAUUGACCGGAUGCUGUUUACCAGGAGCCGCCUACGGAGCUCACAGUUCAUCACUGUCCUUGCCCCGGUGGGGUGUAGAGGGUGAUGUCCUUCCUACCUCCAAGGCCUGCCUCAGAAAGUUCUGUGCUGGCGGGCAACUCUCAACAAUCAUCAUCAGCAGCGUUGGAUUGGCCGGACGCUGUUUAGGCAGGAGCAGCAUGGGGAGUUCACAAUUCAUCACUGACUUGCUUGAGAGACACCAGACUAACAUCAGUCCAGUGUGAGCUGGCGGCCAGCAGUGGAUUGGCAGGACGCUGUUUACCAUCGCCCGACCCUCUUCUUUGCAUGUCCACUGUUCCUCUGGAUGCUGCUUUGUAUGUGGGCAUUUAAGCUGACACGCCCCCUGCCUGGGUGAGGGCACAAUUCAUCACAGACUUGCUUGAGACACCAGACUAAUGAUGGUCCAGUGUUGGCUUGUGUAACCCAUGCUGACGUGUGACAUUUUGUAACUAAUCAGCAUUUCACUGAAAUGUGUGGCAUGAAUAUACAAUGCUUUAAACUGUCUACUACAAAGGGACAGUUACAGACACUCUGUCAUUUCUAUGGCCUCUAACUUCAAAAUUUAAAUUGUGAACUGAAAAUAACUAAGUGCUGCUGAGGGGAAGACUGUAGAACAGUGGCUGGUGGAGAAGAGGCGCGAAGGGGCAAGGUGCUGAAGGAAACUGAGCCACUCGUUGGGUGGUCGUUAAACAUUCCUUUUGUACAGUAACAGUCAAAAGUUUGGACACGCCUACUUAUUCAAGGGUUUUUAUUUUUUACUAUUUUCUACAUUGUAGAAGAAUAGUGAAGACAUCUAAACUAUGAAAUAACACAUGGAAUCAUGUACCAACCCAAAAGGUUUUAAGCAAAUGUAAAUAUAUAAAGUUGCCACCCUUUGCCUUGAUGACAGCUUUGCACACUCUUGGCAUUCUCUCAACCAGCUUCACAGUCUUGAAGGAGUUCCUGUAUAUUCUGAGCACUUGUUGGCUGCUUUUCCUUCAC